CUCGCCUCGGCGGGGGUGUGGAGCGCCAGCGAGCCCAAGGUCUCCCUGGCGAGCAUGGCAGGACUGGAGGGCUCCAGGCAGGGCUCCUCGGCGUCCCUCGGGGCCCCGACGGAGGUGCCGGAGAUCUUCCGGCUACAAACCCGGGCAGGUGGAGCUCGUUAGCCGUGGUAGGCAAUCUGCCUAGGAGAGCAAACUCUAUACAAACCCGGGCAGGUGAGGCUCGUUAGCCGUGGGAGGCAAUUCACCUAGGAGAGCAAACUCUAUACAAACCCGGGCAGGUGGAGGUCGUUAGCCGUGGUAGGCAGUUCACCUAGGAGAGCAAACUCCGAACAAUAAACCCGGGCAGGUGGAGGUCGUUAGCCGUGGUAGGCAGUUCACCUAGGAGAGCAAACUCUAAACAAACCCGGGCAGGUGGAGGUCGUUAGCCAUGGGAGGUAAUUCACCUAGGAGAGCAAACUCUAAACAAACCCGGGCAGGUGAGGCUCGUUAGCCGUGGUAGGCAGUUCACCUAGGAGAGCAAACUCUAAACAAACCCGGGCAGGUUGGGCUCGUUAGCCGUGGUAGGCAGUUCACCUAGGAGAGCAAACUCCGAACAACAAACCCGGGCAGGUGGAGCUCGUUAGCGUGAGCAGUUCACCUAGGAGAGCAAACUCCGAGCAAAAAACCCGGGCAGGUGGAGCUCGUUAGCGUGAGCAUUUCACCUAGGAGAGCAAACUCCGAACAAUAAACCCGGCCAGGUGGAGGUCGUCAGCCGUGGUAGGCAAUCUGCCUAGGAGAGCAAACUCCGAACAAUAAACCCGGCCAGGUGGAGGUCGUCAGCCAUGGUAGGCAAUCUGCCUAGGAGAGCAAACUCCGAACAAUAAACCCGGCCAGGUGGAGGUCGUCAGCCGUGGUAGGCAAUCUGCCUAGGAGAGCAAACUCCGAACAAUAAACCCGGCCAGGUGGAGGUCGUCAGCCGUGGCAGGCAAUCUGCCUAGGAGAGCAAACUCUAAACAAACCCGGGCUUGUGGUACUCGUUAUACUGUCGUAGACAAUCUACGCGAUGGGAACACCAAAGAAAAGAAAAAUAAAAAGGAACACCAGAAAAAUGGAAAAUACAGAAACGAAACGUCAAGAAAAGAAACAAAAAGAUCAUCCACCUUUAGGCCCUAACAUCGCCAAAAUUAUGGAUGGGUCUCUUCUGGGGAGAAAGCGGCUCACCCAGACCAAAGAACAUCAACCAAAG